rnacentral:misc_RNA from 1 species
GAAAUGCGAUAAGUAAUGUGAAUUGCAGAAUUCAGUGAAUCAUCGAAUCUUUGAACGCACAUUGCGCCCGCCAGUAUUCUGGCGGGCAUGCCUGUUCGAGCGUCAUUUCAACCAUCAAGCCCCCAGGCUUGUGUUGGGGACCUGCGGCUGCCGCAGGCCCCGAAAAGCAGUGGCGGGCUCGCGGUCACACCGAGCGUAGUAAAACACCUCGCUUAGGGCGUGCUGCGGGCGCCGGCCGUAAAAAGCCAACGUACCCCCCCCAAGGUUGACCUCGGAUCAGGUAGGAAUACCCGCUGAACUUAA